GAUGAACGCUGGCGGCGUGCCUAACACAUGCAAGUCGAACGAAGCGCCUGGCCCCGACUUCUUCGGAACGAGGAGCCUUGCGACUGAGUGGCGGACGGGUGAGUAACGCGUGGGCAACCUGCCUUGCACUGGGGGAUAACAGCCAGAAAUGGCUGCUAAUACCGCAUAAGACCGAAGCGCCGCAUGGCGCGGCGGCCAAAGCCCCGGCGGUGCAAGAUGGGCCCGCGUCUGAUUAGGUAGUUGGCGGGGUAACGGCCCACCAAGCCGACGAUCAGUAGCCGACCUGAGAGGGUGACCGGCCACAUUGGGACUGAGACACGGCCCAGACUCCUACGGGAGGCAGCAGUGGGGAAUAUUGCACAAUGGGGGAAACCCUGAUGCAGCGACGCCGCGUGAAGGAUGAAGUAUUUCGGUAUGUAAACUUCUAUCAGCAGGGAAGAAGAUGACGGUACCUGACUAAGAAGCCCCGGCUAACUACGUGCCAGCAGCCGCGGUAAUACGUAGGGGGCAAGCGUUAUCCGGAUUUACUGGGUGUAAAGGGAGCGUAGACGGCGAUGCAAGCCAGAUGUGAAAGCCCGGGGCUCAACCCCGGGACUGCAUUUGGAACUGCGUGGCUGGAGUGUCGGAGAGGCAGGCGGAAUUCCUAGUGUAGCGGUGAAAUGCGUAGAUAUUAGGAGGAACACCAGUGGCGAAGGCGGCCUGCUGGACGAUGACUGACGUUGAGGCU
rnacentral:rRNA from 1 species